GGAAUUUUAACUUGUGUUUAGAUGAAAAGAUUUUGUAAUGUGCUAUUUAUUUAUUUCUUUUAAUUCAAGUUUUCUUUAAGUAAUUUGAUCAAUUAAUUUAUAUUGGAUUCAUUAACAUGAAAAAUGCAUAUUUUGAGUCUAAAUUUGAUAUGUCUUGUAAAAAUUUUAUCGUUGAAUAUCCACGUAAAGGUAAGCAUUUGGUUCAUGCCACUAAUAAUGGAAUUCUCCUCCCAAGAAGAGGAAGAGGAGAGGGAUAUAUAACAAAUAGAACUUUGAUUUUGGGCCAAAUGGGAAAUUGACCAAUGGUCAAAUAGUUUAUUUGGAUCAAAUUAGGCAUAAGCGUAUGAUAUCAAUCAUAAUUUUAACAAAUUAAAUUAGAUACUUUUUGAUACAUUAAAAAAUUCUGAAUAAAAAU
rnacentral:misc_RNA from 1 species